UAACGUUACUAUUGUUAGAAGCAUAGUUAGUUAGUAGCAUAGUAUUGCAUCAGUUAGGAUAGCUUCAAGUUAGCGUAGAGUUAUCUGUAUUUAGUACAGUGGUCAGGAUGGUAUGUAGGUGUAGUGUUGCUGGUUGCGACAGCACUGCUGGACUGCAUAGUUUUCCAGCAUACUUUAAAAUUAGGCGCCAGUGGUUGCAUGCACUUAGCCUGGAAGAACGCUAGUUCCCGUAUUGGCAUAGACAGUAAAAGAAAUGGAUACAGCGACCCCAUUGGAUUCAACGGAGAAAAAUGAAGUCAAUUAGAAGCACUUUCUUCCUGGGGGUCGGGCGUACUGCUCAGACUCAAACUGAGCUUGAUGAUGUAAAUGUCACGCGAGAAACCUGUGCGUCUUCUAAUCGCUGUGCCAAGAGAAAUCUGAAUCACCCACCGAAUCUUGCAGAGAAGGCGAGCGUGAACAGGAGCACAUUUUGGUAAGUAUUCUGAUUGAUUAUCUCCCUUGACUUCAUGCCUCCACGUCCCCCCGAUAGCCUCAUAGACAGUAAAAGAUUGCCUGCGAGCUUCUCCUCCUGUCCAUACGGUAAUUUCUCUACUGUGUGACAGAGAGUCGCUGGUUAUGAUGCAAUCGUUAGCCUAUUUUUUACAAAAACUGCUUCUAGGGGAACAUAACGUAAGAUACAAGGUAAUUAAGCCUUUUAUACAUUUUCGUGUUUCUUUAGAAAUAAUUAAUAGACAAAUGGAGUCUUUAAACGCCUCAGAUGUAAAGUUAUUCGCUGUCAAAGUGACGCCAAAAUGAAUGGGAGUCAAUGGAAUGCUAACAGCAGGUGGGGGUCCACUAGCCAAUGGCGGCGCUCAGAGGUGCUUAAAAAAAAUAUGAAACCCUGCCCCCCUGCAUAUUGGAGAUAUAUUAUGGAAUUACAUUUGUUUCAGUAAUAAUGAAUGAACCUUAUAAAACUGAACGUAACUUUUUCAAAAAAAAAAAAAAAAAAAAAAAACGAAAAAAAUUAACUCAGUCGCACAAAUGUAACAGGCUCUUCAAAUAUACUUCAUUCUUUGUUAAUGUUUUUCAAAGAUUCGUUUUCGAUAAUCAUGGAUUAUGAAUUCAUUGCCACAGAUUUCGCUUACGUUUUGCAGUUUUUUGUUUGGUGUUUUUACACAAACCUCUCGUGGGGGCAGGCUUAAAAGUAAUCUACUCUGAUUGGAUAGUGAGCUUUUGAUGAACAGGUGCUCUCUGACCGGGAAGUACAUACGCCACCCAGUGCAGACCCGCAGCACCACCAGCGCUGCCAGGACCCUGCCGUGAGGACCCGGCUGCCAGGACCGGAAGUGAGCGGUGGAGUUGUCUUAAGACACAAGCACGGCGGAGAGCAUGUAAGAUGACAGCCACAAUUUCACUUGGCAAAUGGCUGCUACUGAAAAACAAGCUUUUUUUUUCAGGGUAUCCCACAACAGAUUGGGGGGGGGUUGACUGUGGAUGUUUCAUGUUGAUGUAUGCUCUACAUCUUGUCAUGGGAGCACCCUUUGAUUUUACAUCUUGCGACUUUCCAAACAUUCGGAGGUGGUGGUCUAAUUCUUCUAGAAAACUUUGGGGGUUUCUCUGAAAGCAUGCAUCAAGACGCGGGCAGACGGACGGGCGUCAGCACUGGGGGGAGCACUGGAAACACUGGAAACGCUGGGCACAGUGGGCGCUGGCUGCUCAGGAGGGAUGGACUCCGAGUGCCCCUCCUGAGCAGUGGAUGUUUCGGCUGUUGUGCCAUAUGAGUCUAAAUAAAAAGGCACAUGUUAACUGUAA